rnacentral:rRNA from 1 species
UACGUAGGUGGCAAGCGUUGUCCGGAUUUACUGGGCGUAAAGAGCGCGCAGGCGGUCGUUCAAGUCGCGUGUGAAAGCCCCCGGCUCAACUGGGGAGGGUCACGCGUACUGAUCGACUCGAAGGCAGGAGAGGGUAGUGGAAUUCCCGGUGUAGUGGUGAAAUGCGUAGAUAUCGGGAGGAACACCAGUGGCGAAGGCGACUACCUGGCCUGUUCUUGACGCUGAGGCGGCGAAAGCUAGGGGAGCAAACAGGG